AAUGGGUCAGCGACUUAUAUUCUGUAGCAAGGUUAACCGAAUAGGGGAGCCGAAGGGAAACCGAGUCUUAACUGGGCGUUAAGUUGCAGGGUAUAGACCCGAAACCCGGUGAUCUAGCCAUGGGCAGGUUGAAGGUUGGGUAACACUAACUGGAGGACCGAACCGACUAAUGUUGAAAAAUUAGCGGAUGACUUGUGGCUGGGGGUGAAAGGCCAAUCAAACCGGGAGAUAGCUGGUUCUCCCCGAAAGCUAUUUAGGUAGCGCCUCGUGAAUUCAUCUCCGGGGGUAGAGCACUGUUUCGGCAAGGGGGUCAUCCCGACUUACCAACCCGAUGCAAACUGCGAAUACCGGAGAAUGUUAUCACGGGAGACACACGGCGGGUGCUAACGUCCGUCGUGAAGAGGGAAACAACCCAGACCGCCAGCUAAGGUCCCAAAGUCAUGGUUAAGUGGGAAACGAUGUGGGAAGGCCCAGACAGCCAGGAUGUUGGCUUAGAAGCAGCCAUCAUUUAAAGAAAGCGUAAUAGCUCACUGGUCGAGUCGGCCUGCGCGGAAGAUGUAACGGGGCUAAACCAUGCACCGAAGCUGCGGCAGCGACGCUUAUGCGUUGUUGGGUAGGGGAGCGUUCUGUAAGCCUGCGAAGGUGUGCUUUGAGGCAUGCUGGAGGUAUCAGAAGUGCGAAUGCU
rnacentral:rRNA from 1 species